rnacentral:lncRNA from 1 species
CUAUUCUAUGUGUGUCAGCCGACGACAACGCAGAUACUGCCAACUCAGCUUUAAUCUGGAUUAGAGUCUCUCACCGAAGCCAGGAUUCUAAUAAUCAGAUUGACAUUUGUUUUGCGUUUCUUCAAGGGUAGCAGAGCAGGGAGGCAAAGUGGAUCGGCUACUGUUGUUUAUGCGAUUUGGACUUCUGAAUUGACAAUUCAGCUUUAGAAUAUAAGAAAGAGAUAUAUAUGAAAUAUAUACGUCAAACAAGGCUAUGCGAAGGUGCGUUUCUACGCAAACGUGAGCAAAGUUAAAUCAGUGGUUCUCUAGACAAUCUAGCCUAGCUACUGCAGUGCAUCCCUGUACAGUAUUUUGGAGAUACAGAAUGACGCGCUGCAUUCAGUGCAUUCUUUGACUGGCUCUUCGAUAGAGUUUUGAUUGCGAAAGCAAAAGACCACAGAAUUCAACGACAGAGACUGGUUUCUUUCCCUAUAACUGUCUAUCAACCGGCAUAAGAGAAUUGGAUAGCUUACGUUCACUGCCGUUUUGAUGCUGUUCAGCCAGCAAAUACAAAGUCUGCGUCUUCUGCAGCCAUAGAAAACCCACAAAUCCAGUCUGGGAUUUCAACUGACAACCUAAGAAAGUCCAUCCAAGUACAUUUGAGCAGAAGAUCUGAGAUUCUUCCCUCAUAUCCCCUCCAAUACAUUUUGAGAAUGAUGCAGGGAGAGAGGAUGCCAGGACAGAAACACAACUGAUACUCCCCCACUGUCUACAUCAGAAGGAGAGGGAUUGAACUUGAAUGACCCCAACCUGGCUCCAGCAGGAACCAUGGCCAAGUCAUGAGGACAUCUGAUCUAGAAUAUAUCAGACUAAUAACCACUUUGUCAUAUAUUAUUUCAUUAUAAUUGGUUUCCAUUCAGAUUGAAGAGCCGUACUGUAUCUGAUGUAAUGUGACAACUGGUGAAAGGGUUGUAGGGGAAGCAGAGUGCCUGGAAUCCUUUUUAAAUCCUCUGACCAUGGGAAAACUGUUGCAUUCAUUUUAAUUUUAUACAUAAGACAGUCUGUAGUUCAGAUUUAGAGGAGGUAUUCACUACCUGAACUAAAUAGGAAUUUCACUGAUCCUGGACAUAAAAUGCUUUACCGAAACAGAAG